GAGUUUGAUUCUGGCUCAGGAUGAACGCUGGCGGUAUGCUUAACACAUGCAAGUCGGACGGACACCUUCGGGUGUUAGUGGCGGACGGGUGAGUAACACGUAGGAAUCUACCCUCAGGCGGGGGACAACAGCUGGAAACGGCUGCUAAUACCCCAUACAGGCGGAAGCUGAAAGGAGCAAUCCACCUGAGGAUGAGCCUGCGUCGGAUUAGCUAGUUGGUGGGGUAACGGCCUACCAAGGCGACGAUCCGUAGCGGGUCUGAGAGGAUGGCCCGCCACACUGGGACUGAGACACGGCCCAGACUCCUAUGGGAGGCAGCAGUGGGGAAUUUUCCGCAAUGGGCGCAAGCCUGACGGAGCAAUACCGCGUGAGGGAGGAAGGCCCUUGGGUUGUAAACCUCUUUUCUGGGGGACGGAAGCUGACGGUACCCC
rnacentral:rRNA from 1 species